UUGCAUCCCAAAUAUAAAGACAAAAAGUUUCAUUCUUUACUAGUUGUACUUCAUUGUUAACUUACAGGCAUUGUCAAAUAUUCCUCACUUCACCAAGGGAAAAUUGUGUGGUCAUACAGACUCCUGAAACUAACAGCAAGGACUGGGCCCUAUUUCUGCGCUAAAUAUUCAAUCUAUCGUAUUUAGUGAUUCCAUUGACUUCAAGGGGUGUUCAUAGUUUUGGACUAUCAUUGAUAUGUGAAGCUUUUUUCUAAUGAAGAUUAUAUGUAAGGCCCUCUUUCAUCUUAGUAUUAUUGAUUACCAGUUCAGUUAACUUCACAUUAUUGUAGGGAGCAAGUUUUGUGAUUUCACCUCUACCACCCCAUUUAUUUUGUAUUACAUUGUUUAUUUGUAAAACGGAUGAGGUCAAAAUGAUUAUCUAAAAGGGAGACCACAACAGCAAUUUGGUAAGAGAUUUAUUGUUUUUCUUAGAAGGGAGAGUAUUCAUGCUCUCUAUUGUCACAUCUAGUGAUUAACUAGUGAACACUCAGCUACUCUCAUUCAAUUGGAUAGCCACUCUUACCAAGUGAUAUUUCUUAUAUCAUCUUCUCCGUCAAACAAAACAUUCCUCACUCGUUUAAGUGAGGAUGUAAAGAGAACAAGACAGGAAAUAUGUUGGGCAUGUUACUAUUCAAGGAUCUUUCCAUCAUCCAAUCUUUCAUCCAUAUCAAUCAGCGGCUACAAAAAUUUAGCAUUUUUGAGUUCAAGCAGAAAUGGCUAAAUAGUUUGACAGGAAGAGUAGCCGUAGUCAAUCAUAUUUGAGUCUAUUCACAGAUAAAAAAAGUAUCUUCUCAAUUGGGAUAAGUGUGGACUAGUUCAUCUUGACUUGGAACCAAAAUUUGUAAUGACAAUAUCAACACAAAAUUGUUUGACUCACCUAAGCCGCAGUAAUAACAACCGUAUCCAACCCGCCCAUUUAAAAGACGUAUUAAUCUAUCUAUAUCUAUAUCUAUGCUAUCUAUUUAUAUCCAUAUCUAUACUACUUUAAAAUAUCAACUUAAAAAACUUAAAGUGAAAUUACUACAUUAUCCCAACUUAAAAACCCAACCCUUGAACAUGGCCCUAAUAUUACAUAAGAAUUCUACUAUGUGGAUAUGUGAAUAGACGCCGCUUCAAAUCUCUCAACUUACAUAGACACCAACCUGAACAGAUGCAACUAUACGCUUUUCUCUGUUUAAGAGACACCAAGCAGAUGACAAUUUUCCUUCAAAUCUCCAACUUCGUCUGAAACAAAUAGGUAUGCCCAGUUAUUUCUUUUUACCCAAACUUUAUGUGCCUCAAAACAAAACAUCAUAUUCACUAAUAAUUCUUCUAUUUCACAGUUUUUUGUUGUGAAAUCUAAUCUUCCACUCAAUAUUAACUGAUAAAUUCUCUUCCCAAAAUAGCUUACUUUCUUUGUCCGAAUUUUUUUCUCAGGUGGUUAUUGUCAACAGUCGUAUUAUUUGUUGACAAGUCCCAUUGAACACAUAUUUGUUCUUCAAUCUAUAGAUUCUGUAGUAUGAUGCUCUAUUUGUAUGAUUUUGGUAUUUUUAGUUCUUGUGCUUAUUGUGAGUCUGCAAAUGUAUCCACCACAACUUAAAAAGUAAAUGUUGUGCAUAUGGUAUACUUUCAAAUCUGCAAACAUCUGUUCUCAAACGCAAGAACAAAUCCAAGGUAAGGUAAACCCCCAUUCAUCUACUCUACUUCCAUAGAUUAGCAAAUAAGAUUAUAUGUACAUUCUAAAUUUGAUUAUUUUAACAUGUUGUCGAUGUCCCACCCUUCACACCCUUUGUAAAAUUGAAUAGUUUUCUUCUCAUUAGAUUGAACCAGGCUGUCUCUGCACUCUGUUCCCGAUCCUCUAUUAUAAAUUGUGGUUCAUUAUAUACAUUCAUCAAAAUCAAUAUAUAUAUAUAUAUAUAUAAAGGAGGAAUAAGACCUUGCUUAUGUGGCAUAUCUCACAAAUUUAUAACUCUAAAACCUUUUAUAUUCAUAACCUACAAUUAUUUAAUUUUGCAUUAAAAAAUCUAAUGACAAUUGUUUCUUUAAAUAGUGUGAAACAAUGGCAAUUGUUUCUUGAAAAAGUCUAAUGACAAUUGUUUCUUACAAGGUAUAUGCAUUAUAAAAGUUACUCUUCUAAGCUUUAUUUAUUUUUUUAGAGUAGAUUUUUUUUAUGCUAUGCAUAAUCUACAUUUUUAUAUUUUUGCAAAGAGUUAUGUAUUACUUUAUUAGAACAAUUUUCUUUUAUGUUAUAUGCUCAUUAAUUAAUUUUUUGUAAUCUUGUAUUUCUCUUUAUCUUAAUCUCAUUAAAAAUUUUAUUGUAGAUAAAAAGAAGAUUACUAUCAUGACAGUUUUACUUGUCCUCAUCUCACUGUAGGUAUGAGACAUAACAUAUAGCAAUAAAAAAAAAUGUCUCACUGGUCAAGAUAUAGUUCAAAAUCAAUAUUUUUGAUCUUUUCGAUUUAUUAAAUUUCAUCUUCAACUGCUUUUAGCACUUCAGUUAACAAUUUAGUCAUCCUUCUUUUUCGUUUCAUGCAACACUUAGGGUUUUUUUUUUUUUUUACUCUUUUAAGGCUCGAUUGACAUACAAAUGAAGUAGGAUAUUGAGAUGACAAGAAUCUAACUAUUACUGUUUAAAAUUCUUUUGAGAGAAAUUAUAUUUAUAUGUGUGAUAGUUCUUUUUUCCUCUUCAAUUCACAAUAUAACAUUUUCAAAAGUUUAUAUUAAUUUAGUUAACUAUUUUUCUGAUUUUUUUCGUUGGUGAUGUCAACUUUUUAUGUGCGUGUCUAGACCAGAGUGUUUAUUUUCUAAAGUAAAAGCAAAGAAAGGAGGAAGACAUAUACGUGUGCUGCUUAAGAAAGUAUCUAUGGAUACUUCUGCAAUAUGUACAUCAACUUUAGUAAAUCUUUUGAUAAAUUAUGAGAAUGUAACAUUAGUUUAUAAUUUUGAAUGACAUUUUAAUUCAUAAGAAAGUUGUUUAUUGAUUGGUUAAAUUGUAGUUUUUGAUUUUUCACAUUUUAAUGUCCACAACUCUCAAGCCUUUCAUAUCCAUAACCCUCAAUUAGUUAAUGUUCAAGGAGACCAUUUUCUCUUUUUUUUUUUUUUUUUAAUUUUCAAACUCUAAAUAUUUUUUGUUAAUUGUUUUUAUCUUCUUUUAUAAUUAAUGUAAUUGAUUUGUAUUAAGUAAAAUUUAUACCUCUAUAUAACAAAAAAAUUAAAUUUCCACUCUUAAUAAUAUCAUUAAUUUCAUGACUUUUAAAUUUUCAUAUUCAUAACCUCCAAUUAUAUAAUUAUAAAAUUUAAGAUAACUUAUGAUGUUUCUACAUUUUCAUCUAUAUAAAGUCAUAAUAUUUUGUUUCAUGAGACCCAUACUCAAGAAUAUCCUUUUUAUUUUAUAUCUGAAAUAGUGUUCUUUGUAUUAUUAUUUAUACUAUUAAAUUCAAGCUUAUGAAGAAGGCAUUUGAAGGUUGAUCGUUUGUCAAAGAGGCUAUCGAACAAGAGCUUAAAAAAUUAUACACUAAUUUUAUAUUUCUUUUUUUUUUGUAUUUUUUUAUGGUUAACGUAAAAAAAAAUAGGUGUGUGUGUGUCAGUGUUCAUGAGUAUGUUCUCUAUAUGUAACUUUUAUAAUAUGUAUUUUCAUGAUUUUUUUAUUAUUGUAAGUUUUAUAGACUUUUGAAUGUUGAUCGUUUGUCAAAGAGACUAUCGAACAAGAGCUUAAAAAAUUGUGUACUAAUUUUGUAUUUCUUUUUUCGUCUAUUUUCUUAUAAUUAACGUAAAAAAAAAAAUAGGUGUAUGUGUUUGAGUGUUCAUGAGUAUGUUCUUUAUAUGUAACUCCUAUAAUAUGAACUUUCAUGAUUUUUUUAUGAUGCGAAUCGCAAUAUGCACAUUAAGGUAGUUGUAAUAUGGAGUUAAUCUGUAUAUAGUGUUGACGAGUUGAAGAGAUUUAUGCUAUUGAAAUUGUUUAUAUAUAUAUAACGAGAAAGAAAUUAUCUUAUCAUCUUAGUGCAUUUAUAAGCACACAUAAUUACAUUAUUUCAAAUUAGAAUCUCAACUUCAUUGAAUACCCAAUAGAAAUGAAAUAAAAUUGUUAUUAGAGAAUAUAUUCUAAUUUAUUGAUAAAGAAUAUACUAUCCAUCAUUUAAUAAAUGUUAAAUUGUUAAAUUUUCUUUUCUUUUAUGAAACAAAACAUUCUUUCUAAUAUAAUUAUAACAAGUUAUAAUAUUACGAUUAGAUAAUAAAUCUAUAGUGAAUAUAAAAUUGAUCAAAUAAAAUAAUUAAUUUUUUAACACCACGAAGCGCGGCUAAUUUCCCUAGUUAAAUUAUAACUCAGAGAAUGAGUUCACAUUCAUAUGUUCUAUUUUAACUACUUCGCCCAUCUUUUCUAGUCAACAUGUUGUUCCAGAAAAAAAAAAUGAAUUGUAAGUUCAAAUUUACAUUAAAACUCUAUAUUACGACUAUUGUAACUUCUUGUAGGUACCAUGGCCUUCAUAAUCCUCCGUUAAACUGAAUUGACUUCUUCGAUCAUUGUUUUGUAUGCAUUUGACGAUUAUUCCUUUGCUUUUCACUGUUUAAAAUAUUUGUACAGAUUUUAUCAAUGGGUGAAGCACAUAGUAAGCCAUUUCUAGAUUGUUAUCCUUACUGUUUAUCCCUAUGUUCUUAUCAUAUAAUAUUGAACAUAAGCUUUAAUAUCUUCUUCUUUGUCAUUUAUUGGUAUCCUAAACUAAGUAUAGAGUUCACUAAUUUCUUUACAGAGUAAUGGACAGAAGUUAAAUGAAACAAUAACAGACUUACAUAACACUCUUCAUUAUAUAAAUGAGCCUGAAGUACCUUUUAGUGUUAGUUUAGACUAAAUUGAGGUGUCUAGAUGUGCACUUUCAAAAUUUGGACUGCUUACUUGCUAGCGGUGGCCAUGAGGGUCUGUGUAUGUAGUAUGCCAUAUGUGUGUGUGCCUGUGUGUUGUAUGUUUGUUUCUGUCUCUCUAUCUGUGACUGCAUUGCUGCUGUGUUGCUGCAUUUUUUGAUAAAGAAACAACAAAAGCAUGGAAAAGGGACAGUUAAAGCGGACAUACAGGAUCUCUGGAUAAAUUAUCUUCUAUAAAUCAGAGUGUUCUACAGAAAAAUAGAAGUUCAGGCCAGUACUGAUGAUGAGGCCAACUGAGAGAAAAAGAAAUUCUUGGAGGGUGGUUGCCCCCUCUAUUUGGCCUAUGAUUUCCCCAUAAAUAAAAUCAACAACUCUCUUCAGGAGUACUACUAUUGUUUUUUGUUUUCAAUAACAUUCCAUCUGUUAAUUUAGGUUGUUAUGAUGAUUCUUAUGGCAGAAUCCUCACCAUAGUUUGGCUUUGAAUGGAAGAAUGAGACAUCAGAGAGAUGUAUUUUCUGUAAAAUGAGGUUUCACCCUCUCGCCAUGUGUGUGAUUUCAUCUCCAUUCAUAAAAAAACCAACAGCCCUUUGACAAAAAGAAAAGAUCAAGAAUUAUUUUGACAUUUGGCCAUAGAAUUCCAGAUAUUUUUACAUGCCUCUUCCUUUUACUGCUUGUGCUUCUUUAAUGUAGCUGCACUUUCAAGAAUUUGGAACCUAAAUGAUGUUGAUUGAUGUGAAAAUAUGGGCUGUGAUGAUGAUUUUCUCUUUCGGGGCUAUAAUCUACUUCACUGUGUUGAUAAGAUCUGACCUGUAUCUUGGCGGGGCAAUAAAUGCAGCGCAUACACAAAUCGGUGUAUCUGCAGCCAUGGCAUGUGUUGGUUCUCUUUGUGUGUUUGUAUAACACCAAAAUCUGAGCCCUAAAAGCUUUACUAUAACACCCAAUUGAAUAACCUAUUUUUCUGAUGCAGCUCUCCACCAAUUUUUAGCUCAAACUAAAGCUAAUCAGAGAAAAAUGAGGAUUUUCAGCGUAGUUGACCAUCUCCGAUAUGCCUAUGAUUUCUUUUUCGCUCUAUUCUUGCUUUCCUAUCUCAAGUUAUUCUCCGUAAAUCCACCUAUGAUGAAGCUUGCACUAGCUUUGGAUUAAAGAAGAUCGGCUAUAGAAUAGAAGAAGACCUUCUGGCGCCCCGGUUCAUUCUUUCCCCAACUCCUUCUUCUCAGAAGAAAAAUAGUCAACAGCCCUUCAGCUCAAAACAUGCAAAAGAAACUAUAUAUGAUCUUCCUUUUUCUGCUUGUGCUUCUGUAAUGUAGAAAUGACAAAUCAAGAUAGCUGGUUUUUUCAAGGGUUUGGAAAAUGGACUGCGGUGAUGAUUUGCUUCUCUUUGGGCUAUAAUCUACUUCAUUGCGUUGAUAAGAUCCUACCCAUAUCUUGGCAUUGCGACCCAGUAUGGCAUCCAUUUGCAAACUGGUGCAUUUGCAGCCAUGACGAGUGUUGGUUUUUCUUUUCAUGUCUGUUGAACAACAAAAUCUGAGCCCCAAACUUAGAUACCCAAUUGGGAUCUUCAGUUUUUCUUGAACAUCUCAUUUCAGAGGCAGCUUCUCUAUCAAAUUUUAGUUCCAAAAUUAGGUAAUCGGUGUAGAAAAUGUUUUUCAGGGUGAUUGACCAUCUCCAGUAUGCCAAUGAGUUUAUCUUAGCUCGAAAUAACAACCCUUUUAUCACAUGUAGACACUAAUAUUUGAAGCAUGAAGUCUCUUAGAAAUGUUUAUUGAUCUUCUUACCCCAUCAUAGCUUAUGUUUAUGGGAUUUUACCUAAGUUGCUCGGACUCUCCGAAAAUGUUGUCGCACCCGUGUCGGAACUACUUUUGAAGGAUCUAACCCACACCCCAUGACAUUUUUUUAAGAGUUCGAGCAACUUAGUAUUUCACUGUGUAAGUUAUUGCUGUGUGCGAACAGUUUGACAUUGUUCAAACGCCUACUUGUGGGGUAGUUUCCAUCUUUCGGAUGAGGUUUUGAUGAUAAUGCUUAUGGCAGAAUACUCAACACUGUUUUAGUACAGAAAGGAAUACACUUCACAGAGAUGGAAUUUUUUGUAAAGGGUUGUUGCCCGUCUGUUUUGUCCAUGAUUUCUUCUUCACUGAUAAAAACCAACAGUCCUUUGAGAAAAAAUAAAAGAUCAAGAAUUAUGGUGACGUUUGGCCAUAGAAUACCAAAUAUUUUAACAUGCUUCUUCCCUUUUGCUGUUCACUUAGGAGUUUGGAACCUAAAUAAGAUGUUUUAAUGAUGAAGAUUUGCUUCCUUCUGUGCGAUAAUUUACUUCACUGUGUUGAGAAAAUCCAACCUGUAUCUUGGCAGCACGUCUCGGUAAGGCAUCCAUUCGCUAAUGGUGUAUCUUCUGCCAUGGCGUGCACUUUCUCUCUGCAUAUUUCUAGAACAGAAAAAUGUGAGCCCUAAAAGUUUUACUAUAACACCCUGUUGGGCUUUGCGGUUUUGUUAACACCAAAUUUUUUUCAUCUAUUGUCAGCUCAAAGUUGAGGUAAUCGGGGGAAAAAUAGGAUUUUUAGGGUGUUUGACCAUCUCUGGUAUGCUUAUGAUUUCUUGUUUAUCUAAUCAACUACCCUUUAGCUGAAAAAGGCAAAAUACUAUAUAUGCUCUUCCUUUUUCUGCUUCUGUUUACUACGACAGCUGAUUUUCACAAAUAUCUGCUUUUAUGUCCCUCUAAAUACAAAGGUAGCUGCUUUUUUAAGAGUACUGAGCCUAAAUGAGGUGUUCUACUAAUGUUGAUUGAUCUUAAAAUUGACAGAGAGGGGUAAAUCAUGAAAAUACUUGAGAAUGUGUGUUGUGAUGAUGGUCUGCGUCUUUCUGGGCUAUAAUUUACUUUAUUGCAUUAAGAAAAUCCAACCCGUAUAUUGGCAUCCAUAUGCAAACUGGUGUCUUAUAGCAUGUGUUGCUUUCGCUUUUCAUAUUCACAUACAGCAAAAUUUGAGCCCUAAAAGUUGGCUCAAAAUGUGACAAUCGGAAAAAAAUGGAAUGUUUUUGGGUGGUUGGCCAUCUCUGGUAUGUCUAUGAUGAGGUUCUUGUGUGUACAUAUAAUAAUAUCUCUUUAUGUCUCUCUAUCUGUGACUACUUCCCUCCUGCCUGCCUGUUUUUUUGGCAAAGCAGCAGUAAAAGCAUAGAAAAUGGAGGGUUCAGCCAGUAUAAAAAAUGGAAAAGGGGCAAAUAUACCCCUCCACUAAGAAGAAUGAGGCCCACAGAAAGAGAAUGAAAUUUUUGGAGGGUGGUUGCCCCCUCUGAUUGGCCUAUGUUUUUCCUUUAACCAAACCAACAACCCUCUUCAGAUGUACUGCAAACAUACUCCAAUCUUGUGUAGCAAUUGUUAAAAAUUGCUUGAAGUUGUCCAAACGCCAGCUUGUGGGGAAGUUCCUAUCUUUCAAAAGUGACUGUGAUGAUAAUUUAGCCAUCAGAGAGAUGGGAGAAUCCUCACCAUAGUUUAUGCCUAGAAAGGAAAAAUUUGACAUCGAAGAGAGGAUUUUCUGUAAAGGGCUGUUGCCCUCUCUCUUCAAGUCCAUGAUUUCUUCGCAAUUGAUUAAAAACCUAUAACCUUUUCAGAAGAAAAAAGAACAAUAAUAUUGAUUUCCGUGUUAUAUAUAUGUAUGCUUAUUCCAGUUUCUUCUUCUGCUACUGCUACAGCUGAUUUUCGCAAUUAAUUACUUUUAUGUCCCUGUAAAAUACCAGGUAGAAAUGACACAACAAGGAAGCCCCUUUUAAUGGGCCAUUUGCGAGAAUGUUGAUUGAUCUGAAAAAUGGGUUGUGAUGCUGAUUUUCUUUGCAUUGAGAGGAUCUGACCCGUAACUUGGCUGGGUGACUCGGCAUGGCAUCAUCUGUAAACCAGUAUCUAUUAAUCGGUAUCUACAGCCAUGGCGAUGUCGCUUUCUUUUUACAUGUUAGAACAACAAAACCUGAGCCCUAAAAUGUACGACAACUAUUUAAUGAUCAGAUCUCGGGAAUUGAAUUACCCAAUUAUGUUCAGUUUUUUUUGAAACACCCCAUUUUAGAUGCAGUGCUCUAUCAAGUUUUAGCUCAAAAAUGAGGUAAUUGGAGUAACAAAAAGGAUUUUUCAUGGUUGUUGACCAUCGCCUGUAUGCCAGUGAUUUAUCUUUAGCUUUAAUCAGCUGCCUUUUUAGCAUGUGUAUGAGGUAUGUAUGUAUGUAUAUAUGUGUGUGUGCGUCUGUUCUGUCUCUCUAUCUGUGUCUACUUUGAUCCGGUGUGGAUGCAUUUUCAGAGAACUUAAAAAGCAAAAGCAUACGAACGGGAUAGUUGAGAAACUUAUAAGCUCUCUGGUUAAAGUAUCUCUUAUAAAUCAGAGUGUUCUAUAGAAAUAUGGAGGUUCAACCCACUAUUAAGAAUGAGGCCAACAGAGGAAAGGGAAUUCUUUGAGGGUGGUUUCCCGUGUAGAGU
rnacentral:lncRNA from 1 species